CCUACGGGACGCAGCAGUGGGGAAUAUUGGGCAAUGGGCGAAAGCCUGACCCAGCAACGCCGCGUGAAGGAAGAAGGCUUUCGGGUUGUAAACUUCUUUUGACAGGGAAGAGCAGAAGACGGUACCUGUCGAAUAAGCCACGGCUAACUACGUGCCAGCAGCCGCGGUAAUACGUAGGUGGCAAGCGUUAUCCGGAUUUACUGGGUGUAAAGGGAGCGUAGACGGCGAUGCAAGCCAGAUGUGAAAGCCCGGGGCUCAACCCCGGGACUGCAUUUGGAACUGUAUAGCUAGAGUGUCGGAGAGGC
rnacentral:rRNA from 1 species